UUUAGUUUUCCUAAGAAAAACUUCUAUAACUUUGACCCAGUUUAUAGAAAAAUAUAUAAACAUCUACAAUACCAAAUAAAUAAGCUUCAAGACAUAUUUCUUGGUGGAUUUAAUGAAACUAAUUUGAUGUUGUAGAUGUUGGUGCAUUUCUAUAAACCUGGUCAAAGUUAGAGAAGUUUGAUUUAGGAAAAAACUAA
rnacentral:pre_miRNA from 1 species